GUUGCCCCUAGAGGCAGUGUAGAUGUAGCUGCUGUGUCACCUGUGCAUUAGUUGGUGGCAGAAUAGAGACGCUACAUCUAUGAUCAGUAUUCUGACCUGUGAACAUCUGAAUGAUAGUAGCCUAAUGUU